rnacentral:rRNA from 1 species
UACGUAUGGUGCAAGCGUUGUUCGGAAUCACUGGGCGUAAAGAGCGCGCAGGCGGAUUGAUAAGUCAGGUGUGAAAUCUUCGGGCUCAACCCGAAGCCUGCAUUUGAAACUAUUAAUCUGGAGUCUUGGAGAGGCAGGCAGAAUUCCUGGUGUAGCGGUGAAAUGCGUAGAUAUCAGGAGGAAUACCGAUGGCGAAGGCAGCCUGCUGGACAAUGACUGACGCUGAGGCGCGAAAGCGUGGGGAGCAAACAGG